GAGGGUAUAGCUCAGGGGUAAAGCACAUGAUUAGCAUGCAUGAGGUAGAGGGUUCAAUCCCCAGUACCUCCA
rfam:Camelus ferus unplaced genomic scaffold scaffold259, whole genome shotgun sequence.